rnacentral:rRNA from 1 species
AGUGGCGGACGGGUGAGUAACGCGUGGGUAACCUGCCUCAUACAGGGGGAUAACAGUUAGAAAUGACUGCUAAUACCGCAUAAGACCACAGCACCGCAUGGUGUAGGGGUAAAAACUCCGGUGGUGUGAGAUGGAUCCGCGUCUGAUUAGGUAGUUGGUGGGGUAACGGCCCACCAAGCCGACGAUCAGUAGCCGACCUGAGAGGGUGACCGGCCACAUUGGGACUGAGACACGGCCCAA